GAUUUUAUCAGUAGAAUAAUUAUUUGUUUUCAUUUCUUUUCAGUUACAAAUUUACAAGCAAUGUUGAAGAUGAUAAAUACUAAAAGAAGAGACCUUGUUUGGGUUGGUUUUGGGUUCCUCUUCUGCUUCUCCUUGGUUGACAUGAAACGGAACUUCGUGUAUAAAUUAUAAAGUGUUGUGUGUUGAAGCAGGACAGUAGCCACUAUUUCCCUUCACGCUUUCCCUUUCUCCAUUCCCAUGGCUGCUCUGGGUUUGAAGAAGCCCACAACCCAGCCCUUUUAGCUCGAGCCUCAUUUUCCCACUUUGACAGCUCUGGACGUUUGUCAUAGGCUGUGUAAUGCCAAGCAAACCCCUUUUUCAGCAUUGCUUCCUGAAUAAACUUUCCAUUACAAUACAAGUCACCAACACACCGAUUAUACCGAUCUUCACCAUACACAAGUACUCUCAAACACUUGCCUUCCACAAGCUUUGUUAGUUCUUGUUUUGCCUCUUUCCCAUAAGGCAUUGCACUUUCUGGUGCAUCU
rnacentral:misc_RNA from 1 species